UCACGAUGGAGAGAGACGCUCAGGACCUGUCGCGCAGCACGGGACGGCGGUGAUGGAGGUUUGGGACAAACGGAAGUCGAAGCGUGGGAGAAUAGAGGGGUCCUGGGAGAAGCUAAGGCUCGUCUGCAGAGCGGGACGGUGCUAGAUAAAACAGUGCAUUAGCUUGGAUGUUACUAAGCUGAACUUAGACACAUAGCGGUCCGCAGGCUGAAAGCGGAGACCGGCGGACGCACGGGACGGCGUUUUCCAGUGCAGUUAAAAAUGGCACUUUGUGCUUCUGGGAAGCACCGUUCGUGCAAGUGAUAAAUGAUACCCAAAAAUAGGCUGCGACUUAAAAUAGCGGUCGGAUAGGAAGGGGUGAAAUGUCCAGAUCCCUGCUCACACCCUGCAGUACAGUACCCAUCAAUGGGCUAUCUGCCUACAGAGAGGCUUGUUGAAUGAAUUCUACGAUGCAUGACUUCGAGACCCCCGAAGGUUUAAGCUCACAGCGUCUCUCCGUCGGAGACCUUGCCGUGAUCCAGCUGGUUCCAGACUUCAGUACAGCUGUUGUCCAAACAUGGACAGGAGAAUGGAGUUCCAGAGGCAAUACGAAAGCUACCCCCUUAGCACCAAGGCAGCACUUGAUCGAGUGUGGCAUCAAGAAACCCUGUCAAAACUGAAGUCAAUGGGCAUCAACAGGAAAUCUCUCCAAUGAUUGGAGUCAGAAAGGAAAAUGCCCAAUGGUAACAAAGUGUUCUUUGACUCUCAACGAAGCCUUUUUUCCUGAAUAAUCCUCUAUAUCCAUUGACCUAGUACAGUCUUGAACCAUGACCUAUUCAUAUCGAACAGGCAAAAAGCCGUGAGCUCACUCACACAGCAGGUAGAGGUGCAGCCACAUAACCCAAAGAAUUGUGUUUGACAUUGACCUUCAGCGCUAUCUGUGAGAAGUUUGCAGGUCCUCUAUGAGUGCAUGAAUUCCCCCGGUUGCUCCAGUGGAGGUAAGGGGCAGGAGAGUUGAAGUGAGUUUAACGGAAUGCAAGGAGAAAAUAUGGGAUUAGUGUAGAAUUCGUGCAAAUGAACAUUUGAUUGUCGGCAUUGGAAACUAUGGGCUGAAUAAUCUAUGCUAUAAAUCAUUACCAAGAGACAGUGGAAAUCAAACAGCAAUAUGUUUUUGGACAGAAGCUAAUCCGAUCAUUAGAAUUGUAAUAAGAUUCUAAUUGACCAUUGGAAAAUGAGGCAAAGGGCUGUAGAAGGUAAUUUCAACAAUCUGGGACCUGGCAGAAACAGAUGGGGUGGAAGAAUUCAGCACU